AGCGAACGCUGGCGGCAGGCCUAACACAUGCAAGUCGAACGAACUCUUCGGAGUUAGUGGCGGACGGGUGAGUAACACGUGGGAACGUGCCUUUAGGUUCGGAAUAACUCAGGGAAACUUGUGCUAAUACCGAAUGUGCCCUUCGGGGGAAAGAUUUAUCGCCUUUAGAGCGGCCCGCGUCUGAUUAGCUAGUUGGUGAGGUAAAGGCUGACCAAGGCGACGAUCAGUAGCUGGUCUGAGAGGAUGAUCAGCCACAUUGGGACUGAGACACGGCCCAAACUCCUACGGGAGGCAGCAGUGGGGAAUCUUGCGCAAUGGGCGAAAGCCUGACGCAGCCAUGCCGCGUGAAUGAUGAAGGUCUUAGGAUUGUAAAAUUCUUUCACCGGGGACGAUAAUGACGGUACCCGGAGAAGAAGCCCCGGCUAACUUCGUG
rnacentral:rRNA from 1 species